UACGAAGGGGGCUAGCGUUGUUCGGAAUCACUGGGCGUAAAGCGCACGUAGGCGGAUGUGUCAGUCAGGGGUGAAAUCCCGGAGCUCAACUUCGGAACUGCCUCUGAUACUGGGUGGCUUGAAUUCGGGAGAGGGAUGCGGAAUUCCAGGUGUAGCGGUGAAAUGCGUAGAUAUCUGGAGGAACACCGGUGGCGAAGGCGGCAUCCUGGACCGACACUGACACUGAGGAGCGAAAGCCAGGGGAGCAAACGGG
rnacentral:rRNA from 1 species